ACUAAAAUGGCAGAAUUUAAUGCAUAAAAUCUAAGCUUUUAUUAUGUAAUAUUAAUUUACUUUUAGUU
rnacentral:tRNA from 1 species